rnacentral:rRNA from 1 species
CUCACAGUACCAAAAUGUAAUGGCGAAAUGGGAUUUCGUGACUUCAGUUUCUUUAACUUGGAGAUGCUAGGGAAACACGGUUGGAGACUGUUGACUGACCCAACUUCCUUGUGCGCCAGAGUUCUCAAGGGGAGGUAUUUUCCUGAUUGUGACUUCAUGCAUGCUAGUGCACCCUCAAACUCAUCAGCAACUUGGCGUGCUAUUAUCGCGGGAAGAGACGCCUUGAAUGUUGGACUAAUUAACAGGAUUGGGGAUGGUUCGAGUGUAUCUGUGUGGGAUGACAAGUGGAUUCCAGGUACAUUGACAAUGAAACCUAUGGUCAAACCUGCGAACACUUCGGUACAAUUUGUGAGUGACUUAAUUGAUGAUGAGAAUUGGUCGUGGCGGAUGGACCUAGUUCGAGACACCUUUGUUCCUACUGAUGCAGCAGCUAUACUGAACAUUUCAUUGCGAUCAGGAGGAGGAGCAGAUUUCUUGGCUUGGGCUUUCGAGAAGUCCGGCAUCUACACUGUCAAAUCAGCGUACCAUGCUCUCGUGAUUCAAAAAGAGUGUUCUACUCUAGAAGAAGGGCCGGCUACAAGAGCCUCAAAUGCAAAUGAACAGAUGUGGAAUCGCUUGUGGAAGCUCAAUGUAGUACCCAAGAUUCAUGUUUUCUGGUGGAGAGUAAUUCGGGGAAUUCUACCAGAUGAGAAAACACUACAUCGGCAACAUAUUCGUGAUAUUAGUCGGUGCAAACUUUGUUUGGAAGCGGAAGAGGACCUAAUGCAUGCGCUUAUACACUGUCCGCAUGCCAAGGGUUUUUGGGAUGAAGCUUAG